UAGGCUUACCCUGGCGUGACAUUUUGAUAACCGCGCAAAUCUAUCUCGGACAAGGUCACUUUUAUCAAUAUAUUUGCCUGUAAUUACCCCCCAGCCACUAAUGUGGCUUUCAUACAGAACUACACAUCCUAACGCAAGCUUUGACGUUAUCACUCAAGGCACAGGGUGGGAAAAACCUUCACAUUUCAAGUAUCAAGUAACCUAGCAAGUAGAUAUUAUAGCCAUGUUAGUUUCUCGUGUAAAUAAUUGAUAUUGUGUAUUUCUCAUGUGUAUUCUUGUUUAGCAUUUUUCAAAUUACCUAGCUAGCUACCUUAGCAUUUUUGAAUUACCCUGGCCUUUGUAGCUAACAAGCUAAACGUAGGUCUCUCCGUCGAUCAGAAGCAAGGAUGGUUCUGUGCUAUGUACCGGAUUGUAACCACUACUCCGAUAAGUACACGUGUAUUUGAUCAUUUUCUGACAUCUGUAAGUGAGAGGCAUUGCUGGAGCUGUGUGAUAAGAUGGGCGGAACGGAAACCCAGUGACAGCCUUCGGGUCUGCAGCUGCCAUUUUCCGUUGGGAAAGAGAAAUGGCCCUGUAUUUACCAGAAAAGGUAGCUCAUCCACCAUGGCAGAAGAGGAAGAUCCAGACUGUUGAUUAGGAAACAAGAACAAACAAUGAGGCAUGAGGAUUGGGUGUUGAGGGACCACUUGUCACGUUGUCCAAGUCCAACAGGAGUGCAUCCCUCAGACCAUCCAGUGCAUGGACAUCCUGUGCCAAUGUGAUCCAAGCGCAAGCGUCCAGUUGUAGAGACUACAGCUGUCCGUCAACCUCCCUCUCCUCAUGGUGUGCCAGUUGGGGUUGGUGCGCUGUCCAACUGUUGCCUGAUCCUGCUGCUCCACCGACAGCGCCAUGCCAGCCAUGAUGCCUGCAUGCCCCAUGUGCCCUUGUUUUUAACAACGUCCAGUACAGACAGGGACGACAGGGAGGGUAGCGGUUGCUCUGGCUCAGGUUGCCAUUCCACUAAACCUGCCGAGAGAGUUCCUUAGCCACUGAAGAUCCUCCUCUGUGGGCUGUCGGGACAGAGGGUUGUAGUCUUCGGCCGGGUACAGGUCCUCCACUGACUGCACCUGGUUGGGCACGGCUGGCUUCCUCCACUCGCAUUCCACAUCCGUACUGCUGACAUUGUGAACCGCCAAAAUAGGCUGCAUGGCUACACUUAUGAGCUCCUCGGAGACAUUCACAUGUGGUAGAGAGAAUCCCCUGGUCACCUAUAGAUGCCUGCCAAGAGGAAGGAUGUUAAGUGCCACAUGCAUUUCAAUGCAUGACUUUGAACACCUUGAAAUGCAUUUGUUGUAAGAAAUGUGCUAUAUAAAAAAAAGUUUGAUUUGAUUGAUGACAUUGUAGAAUAUUUAAUAAACUAUAAUUUGCA